rnacentral:lncRNA from 1 species
CGUCGUUAUCUUUGCAGUACAUAGUCAUAGCAUCUAAUGGUAUGAUUUUUUAUUCUAUAACUAAUAUUAAAAUUAGAAUGCAUCCUACACAUCUAUAGCAUACUCAGCUUCCAUUUAUCGAUUGCCUGGAACAUAUCGAACCAACAUAGCACAAGAACACAUCAUGAUGUAAACAUUCUAUCAUCAACAUCCAUGUUUUCUUCCACUCCUAACUCUAUCCCUUCUCCAA